CCUACGGGGAGCAGCAGUGAGGAAUAUUGGUCAAUGGGCGCGAGCCUGAACCAGCCAAGUAGCGUGAAGGAUGACUGCCCUACGGGUUGUAAACUUCUUUUAUAAAGGAAUAAAGUGAGGCACGUGUGCCUUUUUGUAUGUACUUAUUAAUAAAGAUCGGCUAAAUGCGGGCCAGCCGGCGCGGUAAUACGGAUGAUACGAUCGUUAUCCGGGUUUAUUGGGUUUAAAGGGGGGGUAGAUGGGUUGUUAAGUCAGUUGUGAAAGUUUGCGGCUCAACCGUAAAAUUGCAAUUGAUAAUGGCAGCCUUGAGUACAGUUGAGGUAGGCGGAAUUCGUGGUGUAGCGGUGAAAUGCUUAGAUAUCACGAAGAACUCCGAUUGCGAAGGCAGCCUACUAAACUGCCACUGACAUUGAUGCUCGAAAGUGUGGGUAUCAAACAGGAUUAGAUACCCCGGUAGUC
rnacentral:rRNA from 1 species